GACGAACCUUGCUAACGUUAUUCGGAAUUACUGGGCUUAAAGGGUGCGUAGGCGGCGGAGAAAGUUGGGUGUGAAAUCCCUCAGCUCAACUGAGGAACUGCGCCCAAAACUGCUUCGCUCGAGGAAGAUAGGGGUACGCGGAACUUAGGGUGGAGCGGUGAAAUGCGUUGAUAUCCUAAGGAACACCGGUGGCGAAGCGGCGUACUGGGUCUUCUCUGACGCUGAGGCACGAAAGCUAGGGAGCGAACGGG
rnacentral:rRNA from 1 species